AGGACAGCGAGGACACUGUUGAUCUCUGUGAGGAAACACUGCAGAUCUCCAUGUUCGUGAAGGAGCUCCCGGCCUCACUGCUGCAUUCUGGGCAACCUGCAUAUCAGUGGGCUCAUAAGCUGGUGCAGCUUGUUGUUAGGCCAUCGCCGGUCCAUUAGGACUUUGGGGUUGGUCACACCGGCUCAGUGGUGCACACAGAAGGUCAAGUCUGGCGCAGGCUGGCAUAUGGAUGGAGCUUUGGAUGCAAGCAGUGGGGCAGAGCUAUGCAUGUCAAUAGGACAGAGGCGUCAUGCCUCCUGGGAAGGUCUUAUCUCUUCUGCUCUGUGCACUAAAGACACGCAACACAGAUUAUGGAUCUGCGCAAAGCAAAGCAUGACUCUCUGGCGCAGCUCGCUUUUGCUAUUGUUUUGUGAAUCAUGAAUGGGAAUUCUGUUUCGGUAAUAACAAAAGCUUGUGUUCUUAAGGCUCAAAAAUCUGUCAUCAUUUACUCACUCUCAUUUUAUUCCAAACCUGUCGUUCAACUGUUUUUGUCAAGUCAAUCUUUAUUUGUAUAGUGCUAUAUUGUUUCAAAGCAGCUUCACAGUGAUGAACAGGAAAAUAACGAUCA